GCCAGUAUGGUAUAGUGGUUUGAGUACUGGACUAUAACUCUGGAGACAAGGGUUUGAUUUCCUGCUCAGACA